GACGAACGCUGGCGGCGUGCCUAAUACAUGCAAGUAGAACGCUGAAGGAGGAGCUUGCUUCUCUGGAUGAGUUGCGAACGGGUGAGUAACGCGUAGGUAACCUGCCUGGUAGCGGGGGAUAACUAUUGGAAACGAUAGCUAAUACCGCAUAAGAGUAGAUGUCGCAUGACAUUUGCUUAAAAGGUGCAAUUGCAUCACUACCAGAUGGACCUGCGUUGUAUUAGCUAGUUGGUGAGGUAACGGCUCACCAAGGCAACGAUACAUAGCCGACCUGAGAGGGUGAUCGGCCACACUGGGACUGAGACACGGCCCAGACUCCUACGGGAGGCAGCAGUAGGGAAUCUUCGGCAAUGGACGGAAGUCUGACCGAGCAACGCCGCGUGAGUGAAGAAGGGUGUCGGAUCGUAAAGCUCUGUUGUAAGAGAAGAACGAGUGUGAGAGUGGAAAGUUCACACUGUGACGGUAUCUUACCAGAAAGGGACGGCUAACUACGUG
rnacentral:rRNA from 1 species